AUAUUUACUUGGACGGGACUAAUGGGUGUUCAAGAAGGCUCGUGGAUUAAGAAAGUGAACUUCAUUGCACUUAGGAGAGGUGUUCUGCUAAGGUCUACCUAAGUGGUGGAGCUCAUGUCAUAAUUUGUAACCAUAAGACAUGAAUACUUG